GACGAACGCUGGCGGCGUGCCUAAUACAUGCAAGUCGAACGCAGUGGGGACGGGUGAGGAACACGUGGGUAACCUCCCAUCAGAGGGGAUAACACUUGGAAACAGGUGCUAAACCGAUACUGAUGGAUGGACCCGCGGUGCAUUAGCUAGUUGGUGAGGUAACGGCUCACCAAGGCCACGAUGCAUAGCCGCAUGGAGGGUGUGGUCGGCCACACUGGGACUGAGACGCGGCCCAGACGCCUACGGGGGCAAGCAGUGGGGGUUCUUCGGCAAUGGACGAAAGUCUGACCGAGCAACGCCGCGUGAGUGAAGAAUGUUUUCGGAUCGGAAAACUCUGUUGUUAGAGAAGCGGUAUCUAACCAGAAAGCCACGGCUAACUACGUGCCAGCAGCCGCGGUAAUC
rnacentral:rRNA from 1 species